GCUGUAAUCAUGGUGGACAUCGGAACGUACCGAUCUAGAAUCGGGUGUUUUACGGCAAGGUCUACUUCGGGUGGUUGGCGUUUUCGGCUUUAUUGUUUGCCAGAGUUGCACCCUCCCCGCCGGUCUCUAUGGGAAUUGGAAGACCUCAAACCUUGGUACAGUGAACGUGACAAGCACCUCACCAAGUCUCGCGUUUUCUAGAAUCUUCAGCGUUCAAAAUGUGACGCGAAACGAGUUUGACUGCGUCUCUAUCAGUGGGGAUAAAUACGUUCUAAGGUCGAAGCAUUCGGAGAUAACGUUUAAUAACAACCCGGAUUUCUAUCUGUGGAUGUGUAUGCAGUUCUUCAGGGCAAGCGACUACUCGUACUAUUUCUAUAUGUUCUC